rnacentral:tRNA from 2 species
GCGGGAGUAGCUCAGUGGUAGAGCGCGUCCUUGCCAAGGAUGAGGUCGCGGGUUCAAGUCCCGUUUCCCGCUCCA